AAUAAACAAAUUUCUAUGUUUUUUUAAGAAUUUUUGACUCUUCGUCUUAUUUAAAAAUUUUUGAUGAUUAAUAUUUUUAUUGUUACUACAUGAUAAAACAUGAAUAGUACUUUACGUGUGACUAAUUUUUUUAAAUUAUUUAAAUAAGACAGAUGAUCAAACGCUCAACCUAGAAAACUUAGA
rnacentral:pre_miRNA from 1 species